AAAGGAAAUUGGAGAAGAGAAUGUAUGUUGUAGCUGCAGUUUGAGUAUCCUCAAAAUUUAACAAAUGGUGUAAAACAGCUUAUUACAUAUUUAUUAGGUUUUUUUUGCAUAGCAAAUAUAGUUAACUGUGCAAGAGUUUACAUCUAUUACAAAAACAACACGCAGCUGCUAAUAAGAAUAAAAGUGAAGUUAAAAAAGGUAUAUGGCAAGGAAAACAACAAACACAAAAUUAUUUUUCAUGAAGAAAAAACACUGUAGCUUAAACUAUUAUUUUUUAUUUUGUGUUCUGAAAUAAUUAUGAAAACUAUUUUCAAAUUUUUUCAUUAAAUUUCUUUAAAUUCGUACGGGUUAGAUAUUUAAAAAAAAAAUAUGUAUUUCCUUAAACGUUGUAACUAACCAUUUAAUAUUCGUGAAAAAUAACAACCAGAAAAAAAACUUGGAUUCUAAAUUUCUGAUACGAAGCAUGAUAUAGUUUCUGUUUUAGUAAACUGUUUUAUUCAAUCAUCGAGUUCUUCAUGUGAACCAAAUUGGGAUCAUAAAAUCCUGGAAUUUAUAGAGGAAAAAAAUGAAACAUUGCGAGGGAUGUACAGGCCACGAAAAUUGAUACAACAAAAAAAAAAAUGAGAAAAAUAAACACUGCAAUAAAAUGAAUCAUAAAAAUCGACUUCUAUUAUUUCUGUAUAUUCAGAAAGUACGAAAAUUAGAAUCUAUUAAACGACAGCGCUGUUCUCCUUUCCAUUGGGUUGCAUUUGAAAUGGAUUUGAUACUUUGGAUUGUUGUGUGUGGAUGCGGAAGUCACAUCUCUUUCCAAAGGUUCUUUCUAUUGCGGUCCAUAGAGAGAGAGCAGCGAGAGAAAGGAGAAUGCUCUAGCGGGUGGUUGAUAUGAAAAAUAAAGGAAAAAAGGAAAAUGCUCGAUUUUACAACCUAAAAUUUGUUUUGCCUCCGGGUGUAAUUGAAAACAACAGGAUACAGACUUAAUGAAAACAUCAAAAAAGGACCUCUUGUAGUUCAAUCAAUCAGGGAUUACUUGAAUGACAAUAAAAUUGCUAUUUUUCUAUAAGAGCUACCGAUACUUCAAAGUUUGCAUGUUUUUGACGAGAUGGAAGUUUUAAAAAACUUCAAAAUUUUUGUUGAAUUUGUAAAAAAAAAAAUAGGACAAAAAGGACAUCACAAUAAAGAAUACAUCAAUGUGAAAUCCUUAAACAUUUCAUCCUCUUAUGGGGAUGAUAAUCUGAGAUUUAUAUCAAACCAAUACUGAAUGUUACGGUUUUUUUCUGCAAAUAGGAUUAUUAUUUCGUCCCAAUUCGGUUGGUUUAUCCUUGUGGAUCGAAUUGACAUUUGUCAAUAUAGAAGUCCACAUUCUUCAAGUCGAUUAUUCUUUUUAAGUAUUUAAAACAUUUCCCAGUUCUCUCUCAAAAGAGGAUUUAACUUUUAUUACCAAAUGCUUUUAAGAGGAAGAACUUUUUUGCCCACAAAAUUAGACGAACAAUUUAUCCUCACAACAUGCAACUUGCACACAAGCCAUAGGAACUACGAUAAGUACUUUCAUAGUUAUAGUGAUGUCGCUUUUAUAGAAAACGACAAAGGAACGAAGACCAUAACCUCUCUCUACCUAUCCAAUUUACCUGGAACAUGAAAAUGAAUCAUAGACUUUGGGUGACGUAAAGCAGCUUGCACUGACUAUACUCUACGUAAAAGGUACAUCAGGGAUCCUUGUCCCGCAUAUAACAGGUACGCUGACCCCAAACCAUAUCAAAAAGCCCCGCCGCAUUCGAUCCACAACACAAUUGGAUUUACCUUUACCCUACGCGCGCCGAGAUUUCCAUUGGCUGUUGCUAUAGUCUUGGUCGGUUUUAAAAACUUUUUAAGCUUGGAAGGAACUUUUGGAGAAAAUUAAAGUCGCAUGCUCAUAUUGAAUAGAAUCCACAGUGUUGCCAGUGUGUCGAAUCCACACACUCUAACACUCAGAGGGGUUACAAAUCGACAAAUCGAUGCCCAUUGUAGUGAAACACUGAAGUUCAUUCGAAAGCACUCUUGGAGAAAGGCACACGAUACUUUAACCUAUUAAUCUAUAGGUGCACGCGUGUAACUCAAGGGCAAAUGGUUUUCUUCUAUGGAAAGGGAAGCUUUUCUAUAUCAGAGUGUGCUCUCAAGGUCAGUAGUUGGGUUUUAAAGUUUUCUCGCUCUCACAGAAAUUUAUGUUGUUCAGAACAACAACUCUUUGUGCUUAAAUGCUUGUGUUAAAGCAGUCUUAUGGGCAAGCAGUAUGGUAGUAGUUUUUAGUUUGUAUGAGAAAAAGUUGCCUCUUUUUUCAUACUUACGUAAGAUUGUAAGAUAGUGUAAAGGUGUACUUAAAUAGGAUGUCGUUUGUGGUGGUUGUUUAAGUCAUGUUGUUAAACAUUUCUUGUAUAUGGCGAACUUCUUUAUUCCAAGCACUACAUAGUAUUGAUUCACUACUCUUAAACGUCUUCAUAACCAUUAUGUUUUUAUGCUCCGUUCUUAGCUUUUAAGUUGUUUUUAUAGGCAUUGGAGGAAUUUCUCCACAAUGAAUAGGAUUUGAAUUUUAAAUUGUUUGAAUCUAAAUUAAAAGUAAUUUUAUUUUUAUUUUUCGUAACUGACAUUAAAAUAUUUUAGAUUUUUACUGUUGCUU